CUGCUCGCUUCGGCAGAACAUAUCCUCAAAAUUGGAACGAUACAGAGAAGAUUAGCAUGGCUCCUGUGCAAGGAUGACAUGCAAAUUCAUGAAGUGUUCUAUAUUUUU
ensembl:snRNA U6 U6 spliceosomal RNA